rnacentral:rRNA from 1 species
UACAGAGGUCUCAAGCGUUGUUCGGAUUCAUUGGGCGUAAAGGGUGUGUAGGUGGCGCGCUAAGUCGGGUGUGAAAUUUCGGAGCUUAACUCCGAAACUGCAUUCGAUACUGGCGUGCUUGAGGACUGGAGAGGAGACUGGAAUUCAUGGUGUAGCAGUGAAAUGCGUAGAUAUCAGGAGGAACACCAAUGGCGAAGGCAGCACUCUGGGACGUGACUGACGCUGAGACGCGAAAGCGUGGGGAGCAAACAGG